UGUUGGAAACGUUCCACAUAACGGCGGUUAAUCCACGCAACGGGCCUUGUAAGGCAGGCCAGUAUUGUUACGCCCAUUAUCAUAUUGGAGAUGCGUGGCUGACGCUCAGAAAAUACGGUGGCUUGUCAGAGGCCAUCUGGUGCACAUACAGCUGAUCCAACCACAUCUCUACCUUCCCCACAACGGACUUCACAUGGGACAUCAGGUGUAGGGCAAAUACCGAACAUUACUGAGGCAAGGAGAGAGAAAACAGGAAUGCCAGCAAAGGGAAAAUGGACAAACCGCAUGAUUUCUGAAGGGUAAAUUCACCAGCUUGCAUUCAAGAAAGCCUCUGUGCUUCAUAACGGCACGAAAGAGAGAAAGUGCCAUGGCUCAGGCUUCUUCCACCAAGAGCUAUGUAUGUCCUCAGAUCCUCCACUUUUUGCAAACAUUAAAGAUAGAGGUUACUGGUUGUGUAUGAAAUCUGAUGAGCUGGAAUUCUUUGCAGGGCAAAAUAGCACGCUGGGG